rnacentral:lncRNA from 11 species
UAUUGUAUUUUAAAUUAAUGUGUUCAUGCUAUUGUGUCUUUUUAACAGGCAAUAACUUCAGACCGGCUUUGUGAAAAUGUUUCCUGCUACUGGAAAAUAACAUAAGGAAACAGCAUUAUAUAGGUAUAAAAUAUUUCAUUGAGAUUUGAGAGAAAAUAGGUAGUGGAAGGAUG